rnacentral:rRNA from 1 species
UAACACGUGGGGAACCGUGCCCCACUAGUCUGGGAUACCACUUGGAAACAGGUGCUAAUACCGGAUAAGAAAGCGGAUCGCAUGAUCAGCUUUUAAAAGGCGGCGUAAGCUGUCGCUAUGGGAUGGCCCCGCGGUGCAUUAGCUAGUUGGUAAGGUAAAGGCUUACCAAGGCGAUGAUGCAUAGCCGAGUUGAGAGACUGAUCGGCCACAUUGGGACUGAGACACGGCCCAAACUCCUACGGGAGGCAGCAGGC